UACGUAGGGUGCAAGCGUUGUCCGGAAUUAUUGGGCGUAAAGAGCUUGUAGGCGGUUUGUCGCGUCUGCUGUGAAAUUUCGGGGCUCAACCCCGAGCUUGCAGUGGGUACGGGCAGACUAGAGUGUGGUAGGGGAGACUGGAAUUCCUGGUGUAGCGGUGAAAUGCGCAGAUAUCAGGAGGAACACCGAUGGCGAAGGCAGGUCUCUGGGCCGCUACUGACGCUGAGAAGCGAAAGCAUGGGGAGCGAACAGG
rnacentral:rRNA from 1 species